AUUGAACGCUGGCGGCAGGCCUAACACAUUCAAGUCGAGCGGAUGACGGGAGCUUGCUCCUUGAUUCAGCGGCGGACGGGUGAGUAAUGCCUAGGAAUCUGCCUGGUAGUGGGGGACAACGUUUCGAAAGGAACGCUAAUACCGCAUACGUCCUACGGGAGAAAGCAAGGGACCUUCGGGCCUUGCGCUAUCAGAUGAGCCUAGGUCGGAUUAGCUUGUUGGUGAGGUAAUGGCUCACCAAGGCGACGAUCCGUAACUGGUCUGAGAGGAUGAUCAGUCACACUGGAACUGGGACACGGUCCAGACUCCGACGGGAGGCAGCAGUGGGGAAUAUUGGACAAUGGGCGAAAGCCUGAUCCAGCCCUGCCGCGUGUGUGAAGAAGGUCUUCGGAUUGUAAAGCACUUUAAGUUGGGAGGAAGGGUUGUAGAUUAAUACUCUGCAAUUUUGACGUUACCGACAGAAUAAGCACCGGCUAACUCUGUGCCAGCCGCCGCCGUAA
rnacentral:rRNA from 1 species